CCGUCAAUUCAUUUAAGUUUCAGCCUUGCGGCCGUACUUCCCAGGUGGCUCGCUCCACGGCUUCCCUACGGCACCGACAACGGUCGCACCGUGGCCGACACCUAGCGAGUAUCGUUUACGGCUAGGACUACCCGGGUACCUAAUCCGGUUCGUGCCCCUAGCUUUCGUCCCUUGCCGUCAGGUCCGUUCUGGUGAGACGCCUUCGCCACUGGUGGUCCUUCAAGGAUUACAAGAUUUCACCCCUACCCCUGAAGUACCUCUCACCUCUCCCGGCCUCGAGCCGAACAGUAUCUCCUGAAAGCCCAACAGUUGAGCUGCUGGAUUUCUCAAGAGACUUAUCCGGCCGGCUACAGACCCUUUAGACCCAAUAAUAACGGUUACCACUCGAGCCGCCGGUGUUACCGCGGCGGCUGGCACCGGUCUUGCCCGGCCCUUGCUAUGAAAUGCUUUUUAGGCAUCUCGACAGCCAGAUUUGUAACCUGGCACUCGAGGUUCCCUUAUCGCUGUUGCCAGC
rnacentral:rRNA from 1 species